UACGUAGGGGGCAAGCGUUGUCCGGAAUCAUUGGGCGUAAAGCGCGUGUAGGCGGCUAGAUAAGUCUGCUCUGAAAGCCCGGGGCUUAACCCCGGGAGGCGGGUGGAUACUGCUGGGCUUGAGUCCGGAAGAGGCGAGUGGAAUUCCCGGUGUAGCGGUGAAAUGCGCAGAUAUCGGGAAGAACACCCGUGGCGAAGGCGGCUCUCUGGAACGCAACUGACGCUGAGACGCGAAAGCGUGGGGAGCAAACAGG
rnacentral:rRNA from 1 species